CUAGAGCCUCCAUCAAAGCCGUAAAGCAAAACAAAACUCUGAAAACAAAGACUCUAAAGCAGAAUGACCAGGCUGAGCAACAAAGAUAUGCAUCUCAGAUUCUAUACCUUCAUAGAUUCUGUUUCCUUCCUUUGCUUUGACUGGGAAUUUGCCUUAGCUGAGUGAGUAUAGCUCUUCAUCCCACCUAAUUCUUCAAAGAAGAGAUGUAUCAUUUCCUGAACAGUCAGUGCUAGAGUGACCAUUAGACAGCUGCCCAGAGACCAAUCAGAUGACAGAAGAGAGAGCCUUUUCAUCUCUGGACAACUCUUCAAAGAGGUGGAUGGGAAUUUAGCCACGACUUCCUCAUUGAUGGUAGACAUAAAAUUAGAUCUAAGUAUUACUUCACCAGUGG